rnacentral:rRNA from 1 species
AUAUGAUAACCUGCGUUUUUCUGAGAGCUUAUAUGGCGGAAAGCCCCACUUUCGUGGAAGGGUCGUAUUAUUAAAUACCAAACCAAUGCUCUUCUGAUCUCUUGGAUGAUUCAUUUAUAACUGAGGAGCGCAUUGCUUGUGCUGGCGCUAUAUCAUUUCAGUUUUCUACCCCAUCACUUUUCACGGGUAGGGAUUGGCCUACCCUUGGCUUUAACGGUAAACGAAAAAUAAGGGUCCAAUCCCGAAAAGGAACCCUAAAAACCGCUACCCCCUCCUAAGGAUGGCACCAGGCCCCAAAUUACCCCAUCCUGAAUUCAGGAGGUAGUGACCAAAAAUAACCGGACCGGCGCUUUCGGACUUCUGCUAUUGGAAUGAGCCGAAUUUACAUCCCUUUUCGACUAUCCAUU